rnacentral:lncRNA from 1 species
CCCCCCCCCCCCCCCCCCCCCCCCCCCCCCCCCCCCCCCCCCCCCCCCCCCCUGCGCUGCCUGUGCCGCCCAUCCCCGCGGGGGCUGCAGCCAUGCAGCGCAGCCUCAGGGACACGGUGCCUGAGAAACAGAAUGAGAGCAAACGCUUCCAAGAGGAACAUGGAUGUGACCAGGAGCUGUCCCAAGUGACAGAAGGCUUUGAGCUCUUUCAAGAGGACAGUGAGUGUGAACAGGAGCUGUCCCUUGUGGAAGAUGAGAGCGAGCUCUCUCCAGAUGACAGCACAGCUGAGGAGCUGCUGUUCAAAGUAGAAGAGUCCAUUGAGCUCUUGCCAGGGGACAGCGACAUUGAGCCAGAGCUGUCCGAGGUGGAAGAGGCCAGAGAGGUCACUUCAGGGGACAGCACAAAUGAGGAGGAGCUGUCCCCUGUGGAAGAGGCCACUGAAAUCGGUCCAGGGGACACCACAAGUGACCAGCAGCUGACCCCCGUGGAGGAUUACAGCGAGCUCUUUCCAGUGGACAGCACAAGGGAGAAGGAGCUGCCCGAUGUUGAAGAGGACAUCAAAGUCACUCCAGGGGGCAGCACAAGUGACGAGAAUCUGUCCCCAGUGGAAGAAACCAUCAAUGCCAUUUCAGGGGACAACCUGAGUGAAGAGGAGCAGUCCCCAGUGGAAGAGGCCAUCGAGGAUGGUCCGGAAAACAUCACAAGUGACCAGCAUCUGUCCAAAUUUGGAGAGACCAUCGAGCUCUUCCCAGGGGACAGCAAGGGUGACAAGGAGCUGUCCCCAGGUGAAGAAAAGCAUGAAGAAGAGGCGUCUCAAGGGGAGAAUGACUGUGCCAAAGAGCUGCCCCAAUGCGAUUACAACGAGCAUGAGAAGCUUUCCCCAGAAGAUGAUAAAUAUGAAACAGAGCUGUGCUUUGGGGAAGAGUGUGACAUCCAAGACAUGUUCCCACAGGCAGCAGAUGACAAUGAACAUCUGUCCCUAUGUGAAGAACAUGAACAUGAGGAGGUGACAAGGGGGGCCCUGCUCGGUGGUAGGGACAGUGGUUCAAGCUCAUCCCCUGAACUGAAACCACCGGGGACACGGAGCCCGCUCAGUGUCCUGUUCAGUACUCCAGGCAGCAGCCAGGCUCAGCUCCCCUUGAGCCAGAGGACACAAAGGCAGCAGGUCCUGCUGUCCUCAGUGAGGACGGGACAUCCCUGGGGACAGGGAGCAGCAGGGAGCCCCCGAGGCAGGCUGUGCCGGAGCUGCAGGCACUGGGGCAGCAGCGGCAGCAGCAGCAGGAUGCCCUGGAGCCCUGGAGUGCUGCAGGAAGGGCAGCAGCAGCUCCCCCAGAAAGGGAAGGGAGCUGCGUGGCUGCCCCGCUCAGCCCCCCCAGGCCCUGGCCUGCCCAGCCGGGAGCCCAGGCCCUCCGCGGGCAGCCGGCUGCCUCCAGGAAACGUCCCUCCCGCUUCAGGCGGGCGCUGCGGGCGCUGCGGGGGCUGAUCCGUGUGCCCUGCCUGGGGCCGCGGCCCGAGGAAUGAAGGAGACCAGGGAGAGGAUGAAGAAGUGUUAGAGAAUGAAGAAGAAGAUGACGAUAAAGAGGACAAAUGGAAAUGACAAAGAACAGGAAGAAGACAAUGACUGAAACUAAGAAGAUAAAGAAGACGGACAAGACGUAUUUAAGAAUACAUGGAAGAAUAGUAAUAAGAAUUUAAAAUAUUAUAAAGGAGUAAUAGGAAUAGGAAUAAGAAUUUAAUAAUAUAUUUAAGAAGAAGAGGAGUAAUAAGAUAAAGGAUUUAAAUAUAUAUUGAAGAAGAAGCAGAAGAAUAGGAAUGGGAAUAGGAAGAGGAAGCGGAAUAGGAAUAAGAAUAGGAAGAGGAAGAGGAAUAGGAAUAGGAAUAAGAAUUUAAAAAUAUAUAGAAGAAGUGAAGAAGAAGAGUAGUAAGAAAUAGAAGAGUAGUGAGAAGAAGAACAAUAAAAAGAAUAAUUUAAGAAUACAAAAAUGAAAAGUUAAAGAAUUAGUAAAAUUAGUAAAUAAUAAGUAUUAAAUAUUUACAUUACAGUCUAUGAUAUAAAAACAUGAAUAUACAAAAUGUUGUUAUUAUGAUAUGU